UUUUUUUUACUUACUAAUUACAUUAUUAUAAUUCAUACACUAAAAUUUAGUAAAUAAGUUAUCAAGUAUAUACUAUUAUAACGUAGUUUAGGUCAGGAAAUGCUUUAAAUGCAAAUAUCCAUCAUAUUUAAGAACUAAGAUACUACAGAAAUAAACAAUAAACAAAGCUAAAGCAGUCAGAGGCUCAGAGCAUAUAAACAAUAAAUAGGCAGCCACACAAGCAAUAAACAACAUAGCAAAUUCAAAGCAUAGCCAGAGCAGAGCCUCCGAUAAAUAAUCACUUUCCAUUGGAAAUGAUUUAUUGAACCACAAGUUUACAACUUUUCAGCCCACCUCUUUUUAAACAAUGUAAUACUCCUGUUUCUUGUGAUUAACAUUGUGGUAAGACCAAUUCAGAAGGAAAAUAAAAAUAAAAAUACAUAUCACAAAGCACAACACAUACAUAUUUAUUUUACUCGGUGCAUAUCACAAAGUACAACACAUACCAUGCUAUAAACUCAUCCCUUUUCGUAAAAUUCACUCUCUUUAUA
rnacentral:lncRNA from 1 species